UUGACGGUACUAUAUGAAUAAGGACCGGCUAACUCCGUGCCAGCAGCCGCGGUAAUACGGAGGGUCCAAGCGUUAUCCGGAUUUAUUGGGUUUAAAGGGUCCGCAGGCGGGAUUUUAAGUCAGUGGUGAAAGCCUACAGCUCAACUGUAGAACUGCCAUUGAUACUGAUAUCCUUGAGUGUGGUUGAAGUGGGCGGAAUGUGUCAUGUAGCGGUGAAAUGCAUAGAUAUGACAUAGAACACCAAUUGCGAAGGCAGCUCACUAAGCCAUUACUGACGCUGAGGGACGAAAGCGUGGGGAGCGAACAGGAUUAGAUACCCUGGUAGUCCACGCCGUAAACGAUGAUCACUCGUUGCUGGCGAUACACUGUUAGUGACCAAGCGAAAGUGUUAAGUGAUCCACCUGGGAAGUACGUUCGC
rnacentral:rRNA from 1 species